GUAGGGGGCUAGCGUUGUCCGGAAUCAUUGGGCGUAAAGCGCGCGUAGGCGGCCCUGUUAGUCCGCUGUAAAAGUCAAAGGCUCAACCUUUGAAUGCCGGUGGAUACUGCGGGGCUAGAGUCCGGAAGAGGCGAGUGGAACUCCUGGUGUAGCGGUGGAAUGCGCAGAUAUCAGGAAGAACACCGACGGCGAAGGCAGCUCGCUGGGACGGUACUGACGCUGAGGCGCGAAAGCGUGGGGAGCGAACAGGAUUAGAUACCCUGGUAGUCCACGCCGUAAACGAUGGGCACUAGGUGUGGGAGGUGUCGACUCCUCCCGUGCCGGCGCUAACGCAUUAAGUGCCCCGCCUGGGGAGUACGGCCGCAAGGCUAAA
rnacentral:rRNA from 1 species